rnacentral:lncRNA from 1 species
UUCUAAGGCUGAUGGAGUAAGUGGGGAAGAGGUUUAGUGACUACAGUCAGUAGCCCAGGAUGGCUGCAGGGAAUUUAUUCAGGCAUGCCCCACGAAGUCUGCCUAAGGUGACUCAGAUUCCUGUGAU